rnacentral:rRNA from 1 species
CAGCCGCCGCGGUAAUGCGAAGGGUGCAAGCGUUAAUCGGAAUUACUGGGCGUAAAGCGUGCGUAGGCGGUUUGUUAAGUCUGUUGUGAAAUCCCCGGGCUCAACCUGGGAAUGGCAGUGGAUACUGGCUCGCUAGAGUGUGUCAGAGGAUGGUGGAAUUCCCGGUGUAGCGGUGAAAUGCGUAGAGAUCGGGAGGAACAUCAGUGGCGAAGGCGGCCAUCUGGGACAACACUGACGCUGAGGCACGAAAGCGUGGGGAGCAAAUAGGAUUAGAUACCCGUGUAGUCCCUGUCUCUUAUAC